rnacentral:rRNA from 1 species
UACGUAGGGUCCGAGCGUUGUCCGGAAUUACUGGGCGUAAAGAGCUCGUAGGUGGUUUGUCGCGUUGUUCGUGAAAACUCACAGCUCAACUGUGGGCGUGCGGGCGAUACGGGCAGACUAGAGUACUGCAGGGGAGACUGGAAUUCCUGGUGUAGCGGUGAAAUGCGCAGAUAUCAGGAGGAACACCGGUGGCGAAGGCGGGUCUCUGGGCCGUAACUGACGCUGAGGCACGAAAGCGUGGGGAGCAAACAGG